ACCGGAGGAAGGUGGGGACGACGUCAAGUCAUCAUGGCCCUUACGAGUAGGGCUACACACGUGCUACAAUGGCGCAUACAGAGGGCGGCCAACUUGCGAAAGUGAGCGAAUCCCAAAAAGUGCGUCGUAGUCCGGAUUGGAGUCUGCAACUCGACUCCAUGAAGUCGGAAUCGCUAGUAAUCGUGGAUCAGAAUGCCACGGUGAAUACGUUCCCGGGCCUUGUACACACCGCCCGUCACACCAUGGGAGUGGGCUGCAAAAGAAGUGGGUAGUUUAACCUUCGGGAGGACGCUCACCACUUUGUGGUUCAUGACUGGGGUGAAGUCGUAACAAGGUAGCGCUAGGGGAACCUGGCGCUGGA
rnacentral:rRNA from 1 species